UGAGGAAUAUUGGUCAAUGGGCGCAAGCCUGAACCAGUCAUCCCGCGUGCAGGAAGACGGCCCUAUGGGUUGUAAACUGCUUUUCCAGGGGGAGAAUUUUUCUGUCGUGACAGGAAUUGACGGUACCCUGGAAAUAAGCAUCGGCUAACUCCGUGCCAGCAGCCGCGGUAAUACGGAGGAUGCGAGCGUUAUCCGGAUUUAUUGGGUUUAAAGGGUGCGUAGGCGGAUUGAUAAGUCAGUGGUGAAAACCUGCAGCUUAACUGUAGACUUGCCGUUGAUACUGUCAGUCUUGAGUGUGGUCAAGGUAGGCGGAAUGUGUAACGUAGCGGUGAAAUGCUUAGAUAUUACACAGAACACCGAUUGCGAAGGCAGCUUACUGGGCCAUUACUGACGCUGAUGCACGAAAGCGUGGGGAUCGAACAG
rnacentral:rRNA from 1 species